UGCGGGUGUCAGGGUUCUCUGUGUUGUCCUACUCUAUUCUACUCCUCAGGUGGUUAUUGAUGGCUGGGGGGCAUGUCCCACACCUGCGGCUCGUCAGAGGCAGCUUCUUCUGGCUUCAUAAGCAGAGCGCAGACUGACGGAAGAUGCCAGAGCCUUAAACCAGUCGUGUUUUGGUGCUUGGAUGCACUCUCCUGUGUCGAAGUCCCGUCCGAAGGAUCAGACCAGUGGAAUUUCCUCGCUCAGAUUUUCCUCGAAUUUCCUCGCUCAGAUUCAGAUUCUGCUCUGGCUCUCCCCCUCAUACUCCCUUGGCGUUACCAAGUCAGGCCUGAGGUUCUCCUCCUGGAUUCCACUGGUGCUCUCUGAACUUUCUGCACUCUGGUGAAACCGUCUGUCACUCCAACCAGUUGAGGCUCGCUCCGGAUCCCUCGCCAGCUCCAUCUGCCGCCCUCCAGCCACUAGCCACCAACACCACCUAGGGUAGGCUCACGGAGUUCCCUCGGCACUCCUUCCCCUGGUUAGGUCUGCCCCAGCUAAUGUCUCUCCCGCUUCGACGUUCAGUCUUCGCCUAGGCUACUUGCAGCCUCGUCCUUG